CACAUGCUUGGAAACUAUAAAGAUUAUAAAGAUUAGGUAUUGUUUCCAGUUUUUGUGAUAGGUGGUUUUUUUUCUGUUUUAGUAUCUAAAGCUUUAGCUUCCACAGCUUUAAGCAAUAGUUUUUCAACAAUUAUUUUUUAAUAUUACCUUUUAUUUUGAAAAGGGUAACCCGAGUCCUGGAAAGCUGAACGCCACAGUAUGACUUUGCAGUUAGUUAACCUCCUGAAGCCUUGUUUCCUCAACUUUAAAAUACGGAAAAUAAUUUAUGGAGAAUGUGUGUGAAAACUCUUUAUAAGCCAUACAGUAUUCUAAAAAUAAAAUCAUUCCUAUAAUUUGGGUGAGAUUCAGCGAGUUAUUUCGCAUCGCCUCCAGUUGCUAGAAAGUGUGUGCGCGUUCAUGUAUCCAUUGGGCAAUGUUUGAGCACCUAUUCCCUGUAAGACAAUAUGCUAACAGUUGGCAACACCUGGUGCCCACUUCCCGGCAGUCAGGUGAAGGACAUUCGCAAAGUCCAGUAGAAAUGCCCCGAGCUACUUUAUCCAUACUGAGUGUAUCCCUGCGGUGGGAAAUGAAAGGCAUCCAACACAGGAGUGUAGAAGCUCGUGAAGGGCCUUCCUUCUUCCAGCAAUUGAUUCGUUUCUAAGUUUGAACAGACGGAACGUUCCAGAUUAAAUGAAAAUAACAGAAAUCAUCUCCGUGUGAUGGAUUCUAAAAUUGGAUUAACCUUCCAUUCUAAAACAAGCUUCAUCUGUCUCCCUUCCAGAAGCAAAUAUAAAUCAGCAUUUCCAGGGCAUGUGGCCAUGAGAGAGGACAAGGCUCACACCUGGCAGCCAUGCCAAGUAGAGGACAUCCAUAAAGGUGUAAGCCAAGGCUCAGGGCCUUCUCUGCACAAGAAACAUCCCAGACAGAAAAAACCAGGAGGGCUCAGAAAGGUGGUUCAAAUAUUGGAAGAGGUACAUACUGGCUACUGGGGCGAGUAAGAAAAGAUCAAGCCUCUCCAUGUGACGCCGGAGGUGGUCUUCAGAAGACGGGAAGUGGGGCACCCUUCAAGGCGCAGUGCUUCUUCUUUUUUUUGUUUUUUAAAGAUUUUAUUUAUUUAUUUGACAGAGAGAGACACAGCGAGAGAGGGAACACAAGUAGGGGGAGUGGGAGAGGGAGAAGCAGGCGUCCCGCAGAGCAGGGAGCCCGAUGCGGGGCUCGAUCCCAGGACCCUGGGAUCAUGACCUGAGCCGAAGGCAGACGCUUAACCGACUGAGCCACCCAGGCGCCCCAAGGCGCAGUGCUUCUUAACUUGCGUGUGUUUGUCAAUCUCCCAGGAAUCUUGCCAUGAUGCAGAUUCCGACCAGUAGUUCUAGGGACCAGCAGAUGAGGUGCAUGCUGCUGGUUCAGGACCACGCUUAGAGAAACAGGUGUCAAGGGGCUUCCUGUUCCCACCGUGCUCUAGUCCCGAAGUGCUGUGAUCAGCAGAUCCUCUCUGCCAACUUCGUGCAGCUGGGUGUAUGCAGGCAAGGCGCUGGCCACGCAAGCUUCUCUUAGCAGAUCCUUCAAUAUAACUAAAACCCACAUUUAGAUUUAUAUCGCUCUACCCCAUUUAAACAUAAGGAUAUUCAGAUACACACAGAUUUCCAAAGAAGGUGUUUGUGGACCAGGAUCUGCCCCAACAGGUCAUACAGAGACUCUUACUGGAAGGUGGGGGUCUUCUUUCUCUUACUCAGUUCCAUCCCUAGCCUUAUUUCUCCCCCUUUAAAAAAUACUCAGCUCAAGCACUAUAUUAUACUGCAUCUUUUGCCAUUCCACGAAUGGGCAAGUCUCUAAAUACCCAGUGAAAAUUAUCUUUUUCCCUUUUGUAUUUCCUAGCUCCUUUUUAAAAAUUUCAAGUUCUAUAUAUUUUGUGUACAUGGGCUCUACUUUAAGAAAAUGCAUUACAAGAUAACUCAAACAUAAUACAAUGGGUAAUUAUCAUGCAUUAGAAAGCGAUUCUCAGCUUUAUAAAAGGAUUCACUGCCUCCUGCCUUCAGGUAAUGAGUUCUCUCUGGGCAUUUAUUUAUUUAUUUAUUUAUUUAUUUAUUUUUAAGAUUUUAUUUAUUUAUUUGACAGAGACAGAGAUAGAGAGAGCAGGAACACAAGCAGGGGGAAUGGGCAAGGGAGAAGUAGGCUUCCAGCUGAGCAGGGAGCCCCAUGUGGGAUUCGAUCCCAGGGCACUGGGAUCAUGACCUGAGGCGAAGGCAGACGCUUAACGACUGAGCCACCCAGGCGCCCCUCUCUCUGGGCAUUUAAACUUUGAAAAUCUUGCUAUCAAGAUUCUGAUUUAAUUGGUCUGAGUAGGGACUAGGGCACUAAUUUUUUUUUUUUUAAAGCUCCCACGAUAAUUCUUUUUUUUUUAAAUAUUUUUAUUUUUUAAAGAUUUUAUUUAUUUAUUUGACAGAGAGAGACACAGAGAGAGAGGGAACACAAGCAGGGGGAGCGGGAGAGGGAGAAGCAGGCUUCCCGUCGAGCAGGGAGCCCGAUGCAGGGCUCGAUCCCAAGACCCUGGGAUCAUGACCUGAGCCGAAGGCAGACGCUUAACGACUGAGCCACCCAGGCGCCCCGCUCCCAAGAUAAUUCUAAUGCACAUCCAGGUUUGAGGGCUACUAGACUGAAUGAUGUCAGGUUUCCAACUUCAAAUGACUCAGAUGACUUGCUGGCCAUUUAAAUGCAACAGGCAUUUUUGUGCACCUGCUGUAUACCAGGCACUCUGUGAGGUUCCAGAGACAUGAGGAAAUCAGUCCCAGGUCCUACCCUGAAGGCACCGACUAUCUAGCAGGGGGGAUAAAACAUGCAGAAUUUAUUUCAUCUAGAGGCCCCACAAGUAGCACAAUAGGGAAAUGUUGCUGUAAUCACCCAUAGAAGGAGAGGCAGGAGUCGGGGGACCUGGUCCUCCAUGGUCAUUCCUUUCCCUCCCCCUUCCUCCCGGAAAGUCCGAACUCAGGUUCAGUAAGAACACGGGGAACUGUGUAGCCUUCCGGGCUGGGUGACUUCUUAUGGUUCCCAUAAGUGGCCCAGGCUGAGAAUGAGAUGAUUUUCAGCAUCUCCUCUGCCAAACUGUCAAAUGACGGCCACACCGUCUUCCACUGUCCUCUUACUCCUUUUCUGGAUGCUUCUCCAACCUCCAGCUUUGGGUGCUCUUCUUCCCAGAUGGCCUCAACUCGUUCCCUCACUGCUCUCCAUCCCUCACCCCAUCCAGGCUUGCCUGUCCCCAGAUUACCUCUCAGCAAUGGCAGUCCCGUGCUGUGGGCGCCAAGGUAUGGACUCCACAUGGAGCUAUGAAUGGCCAAGAGACCCACUCAAGAUCUCCUGCUUUGUAAGGCAGGAGUCUAUUACUCCAAAGCCACUCCACAGCGGGGAAAUUCAGAAUGAGAUAUUUUAAUAAAGGCAAAACCAGGUAGCCCCCAAUUUAAUCCACCGAAGGAGAAAGCAAAUGGAUUUUUGGCAGAAUACCGCACAGGCCCCAAGCCUGCCCUCUGACCUCACUUGUGGAACUCGGCAAGUGUAGUCAAGGAGGGGCCCCACAGUGCCUGCUCCCAGGCAGAGCUGCUCAAAGAGGAAAUGGACUACUUCGUGAGAGGCGAGUUUUGCUCUGGAAACCUUUUCCCAGUGGAGAUGAGUUCUUUGAAAUACUUGACUUGAGUUCAGUGCAAGUCCACGGGCAGCGACAGUUCUGCAGAGCCAGGAGGAUGAGCCAAUAGAACCUGGGACUUUUCUCGAGCCCCGCUCCAGGACCCUCAGAUAAUCUGAUUUGGAAGAAAUUGAUUUCUCAAAAUGGAUUUGGAAGAGCAAAGGGCCAAGAAUAACUGAGAAGCAAUUUUGAAAAAGUAGAACAUGGAAGAACUUGCCCUACCAGAUCAAGAUUUAUUAUCAAAAUAUUUCGUAAUGAAGACAACAGAGUUUGGGCAAAAGGAUAAACCUUGGAACAGAACAGAAAGCCUAACCACGGGCCCACCCGUGUUUGGAAACAAUACCAAGCAGAGAUAUUACAAAUGUGUGGGGAGAGGGUGGUCUAUUUAAUAAAUGAGUCCUAGGAAUGACUUUUAUCCAUAUGGAAAAUACAAAAUUAGAUUUCUGCCUUAGAUCAACCCUCUGUAGAUUAAAGAACUAAAAACAAAAAGCAAAACUUUAAAGCACAGAGUGAAAAUACAGAAAAAUUCUUCAUGACCCUAAGAUAAUGAACAAUUCCUCUUUAAGAAAGCAAACAAAAAAGAGAACAUAAAAAUAAUCGAUAAUUUUGACUUCGUAAAAAUUAACUUCUUCAUAACAAAAGGCCAUUAUAACAAAGUGAAAAACAAGCCGUACCCUGAGAGAAGGCACUUGCGGUGAGUGUAACAAGUAAAGAAAUCUCUCAAAUUAAUUAGAAAAAGAUAAACAGCACUUGGGAAGAAAUGGGCAAAGAAUAUAAACUAUCAAUUUGUAGAGAAGGAACCCCAGAAGGUCAGUAGAAAUACAAAAAGAUGCUUGCUUCCACUAUUAAGCAAAGAGAUACAAAUCAAAACAGCAGUAAAAUAUCAUUUACAUCUACCAGAUCAGCCAAAAUUUAAGUCAGCCAAUGCCAAGUGUUGGCAGAGCUGUUAAAUCACGGAAAUUCACUCCCGCCUAGUGGGACCGUAAAAUUGGCAAUAACUAGUAAAGUCGUAGGUGGUCAUGUCCAGAAGUUCUACUCCUAGGCAUCUAGUCUUGUAUGUGGGCACAAGAAGACAUGUAUUAAGAUGUUUGCUGUAGCUUGGAAACCACCUAAAUGUCCAUCAGCAAGAAAAUGGAUAACUAAAUCCUAUUAUAGUUAUACAAUGGAGUACAGUACAGCAUGGGCCAGCAUAGAUAAAAAUCUCGCAAUUGUAAUGCUAAGGGAGAAAUGAACACUGCAGAAGAUUCUGAUACUGUAUAUAUACAUGUAUGUAGCUUAAAAGCUGGCAGGGCGUAUAAGUAAUACUUUAUAAUGCUUAUGGAUACAUGCAAAAUGCAAUAAAAAUAGUAACAAAAUAUAAAAACAUGCAUGAGGAUGACUAACACCGAAUUCAAAACAGUGCUCAGCCCUGGGAAGUGAAGGAGAUGUGCUGGAGAGGAGUACAGAGGGGAACUCCGUUGUAGCUCUAAUAUUUACUUUCUUUGCAGUAGAAAGACCUGAAGCAAAUAAGGCAAUAUGCUAAUAUUUGCUAAAGCUGAUGUGGCCAUUAUUAACGCUGCCCACCGAAUGUAUCUGGCUCUCUGCCUUCCAGGCCCAUGGUAGGAUUGCCUUUCCCAUUCACUCUGAAGUUAGCGGUGACCUAGAGGCUUACUGUGGCUGGUGAACUGGAGUGGAAGUGACUUCUGUUUCUGGCCUCAUGAACCAGUGCACAAAAGUUUUGGCCAACAUGGCCACGCAGAGUCAGACCUUCUCUCUUCCCCAGUACCUGAGCAGACACCAUGUCUCCAGGCAGCCGGUGGAGGACAGGUGGAUGGGUAAGCUUUGUUGCUCCCAGCCUUUGAGAUUUGAGGAUGUUUGUUAGCACAGCACAACCAAGUCUUUCCUGAUGGAUACAGCUGGGAAGUUGGUUCACAGGGGUUCCCUGUAUCAUUAGUCUCUGAUUUUAUCUACAUAUUGAAAAAUUACAAAUAAAAAUUUAAAAGUUCUUAAUUUGGACUGGAUUAAUCCUAUUUCUCAGCCCAUAGCACAUUAUCUUUACUGGUCUGUGCAAGGUCCUGCUCUUAUUUUAUUAAUUCUUAUUUUCUUAGUAAGUACCUCAGACCUGAGAUGGAAGCAAUGUUGAUCUGCAGGAGAUCUUGCUGAGGGGAAGGAGUGAUGGGCUCGCCCUCCCAGCCCGAGUCCAGCUUCCCUCCAGUGCUGUGUGCCAGCCUGCAGCAUCUCUCAGUGGCUUGCGGGCCCCAGAUACCCACUUAGAAAGCCUUAGCUCUUCUCCAGAGAAGUGUAAACAAGAACUGAGGAAUGCAGCAGUGCCCCCACCUGUUGCUGACCCUUUGUAUGGCUUUUAGAAAACUGGUUUGCUCUUCCUUCCCAAUUCUCUGAUGUGUCUGAAAGCAGCAGACUUGCCCCCCUGGGGUCCCCUUCCUGGCUCCUUCCACCUCUGUGAGAAAUGCUAGGGAGAACUCUCUCACCCACCUCUUGGCUUCCAGGUUCCUUUCCAGGGCUGCCUGCAAAACCCGCAGGGAGUAAAAACCCCAGAGAGAGGGGAGGGGAGGGGGCAGAGUGCUGGGGAGAAGGAAGAGAGACGCGUGCUCCUGGCCAGUUCUGUUCCGCGCUGCGCAGCGAAACGCAGGCGGUGCCUGGAAGUCACCGUGAAAUGCAAUGCCUUUGAGAAGUUCCGUGGAAAGAAUGAUAUCAUGGCCAACCACUCCCUGCCCCCCCCAACAUUUUUUCCAGGGGGAGUGAGAAGUAAAUAGACUGACACAUUUUCCAGUCAGGGAGCAGUUCUGGAGAGCAAGUUUACCUUGGCACAGGAGCUCAGGUGGGGCUGUGAGAAACCUUAUCUGUGCUUGCCCAGUAAACAAGGAGCCCUCAUGUCCCCGGAGCCUUGGCCACCGCACAGCGGACCACAGGAGACAGGGAAGGUGUCAGCCUGCUGGAGCCCACCCCGAGGAGCCCCGUGCUAUAUGAUACGAGUCCUGGUGAUAGGAACCUCUCUUCUGGCUGUGAAAGCGCAUUCCUGUGUAGAUGUGGAAAGAGAGAAAGCAUGCUGGAGGCGAGCUAGGAUAGGAAUGAGUCUGGGACACAGAGAAGCCCUGCAACGUGCCUGAGAACUUACAGCAAAGAGGGAGAUCAAGCAUGGAAAUACAUUGCUAAAGGAAUUUAGAUGGAGACUUUUUUACUCAAUGAGUAAUUAGCUACAUGGCCUGCAUACCUGCACAUUGAUGCCAUGGGUAAGUCAGUACCUUUAUUCUUUUUUUAAUUCUUAUUUUAGGUGCGAGAGAAAAGGAGCUGGGAAACUGGAUUUAGGCAAUGUUGGAAAGCAAGGCAGUUCUGAUUACACUUGGAUUUUCACUGAAGCAGAAUUGCAAUUCGACUCUUGAGUCCCUGAAGACAAAUGUGGCAGAGGGAGGGAGUGCAGAGGGCUGUUUAGUUCACUGAGCGGCACAUAGGAGAUGCUCAGGAAAUGCCAGUGGUGGGCUGACGGGGUUGGGAGAGUCCAGAUCGUGUGUUUGACUUCUGCUACUGACUUCUUGGCAGAGAUGUAGCGUUGUAGUGGAAAGAACAUUUGACCAGUGGUCUGAAGGCCUGCGUUCAGGUUCCAUCUACACCAUUUAAUAGCCUUGGACGUGCCAUUUAAUCUCUUAGGUGUCUUCUCACCUGUAAAAUGAGGAGACUGGACUCGGUGAUUUGGAAGUUCUCUUUCAGCCCGAAGAUUCUGGGCCUCCAUGUUAACUUCCUUCACUGGUGUUUCUGUUUCUUUAUUUGAAGGCAGUAGGGAUAGAAACCUAUCUCAUAAGAUAUUGGGAAGCCGUGGUCAGUCUGCAUGUUCAGAUACCCUGUGUCUUUACAGAUAUGAUCAGAGCAAUGUAGCAGAGUUGCUGUGUGAUCUUCGGCAAGUGCCCUAAUUUCAGACUCGGUUUGCACGCUCUAGGCUAGGGACUGUAUAUUGUGCUAUGGUAAUCUUAUUACAUUCUUUUGAAAGCCGAGAUCAUGAAAAUGCUUUAAAAAAUGGCAAGGCACUACAUAAAGUAUUAUGACUGAGAAAUGACGUAGUUGUUAUAGUGACACCAAAGUUUAGCCCCAUGCCUCCCAUAUUUUCAUAUGAAUGAAUGUGUCACCAUGGUUUCAGAGGGGAAACAGUGUAGAUUUGGGGUUCUAACCCAAGGCUUGCUUUCCACUCCAACUUACUGACAAGAGGUAACUUUCACUUCAAAUGGGCAUUAAUAUAAAGUUUCCUCAAGAACAGGCAUCAGGGAGUUACCUCAAGGUUCUCCAAUGUGGGGGAUUUUUCAGAAGGCCGGACAUCUGCUGGUGGAGACCUUCCAUCCCACCCUCUUCAAAAUGAGGCCAUUUUGAUACUUGAAGGGUCUGUGUAUUGCAGGGGGUAGGGGGUAGCUUUCGGAAUCUAGAAAGUUUCACCAGCGAUAAUCACAAAUAUGUAAUGCUGGGCUGCUGGUAUGUAAAAAUGGUGAGUCAGUCUUUCAUCCCAGGCCUUGCCAGGGAUUGCUACUGGGGAGAAAUGGCAGAGGACACGAGUCCUGCUCUCCCAGGGCCGACCUCAGUCACAAGGUGGAAAUAAGCUCUCCAAACACUGGCUUCUCCUUUGACUAUGUAGAUGACAACAUGUCCCACCCAGCCUUUGAGAAGUUUCUCCGCCCUAUGCAAAAGGCACAAACAGCCCCCUCUGUUAGUGGUAAUCCCAUACUGGAGAAUCUCCCCUUAGCACCUGUCCAUAGAAGCAUCGACCUCCAUCAGUACACUGUCUCCAGAGAAGGAGCAUGGAGGUGGUUCUUGGCAGCAUGAAUCCAUUUCUGAUUUAUCUUAUGGGGUGGGGUGGGGGUGAGU